rnacentral:rRNA from 1 species
GAUGAACGCUGGCGGCGUGCCUAACACAUGCAAGUCGAACGGAAAGGCCCAAGCUUGCUGGGGUACUCGAGUGGCGAACGGGUGAGUAACAGGUGGGCGAUCUGCUCUGCACUUCGGGAUAAGCCUGGGAAACUGGGUCUACGAUCGGAUAGGACAACUCCGAAGUGGUUGUGGUGGAAAGUUUUUGCGGUGUGGGGUGGGCUCGCGGCCUAUCAGCUUGUGGGUGGGGGAGUGGCCUAGCAAGGCGUCGACGAGUAGCCGGCCUGAGAGGGUGUACGGCCACAUUGGGACUGAGGUCCGGCGCAGACACCUACGGGAGACAGCAGUGGGGAUUAUUGCACAAUGGCCGGUAGCCUGAUGCAGCGACGCCGCGUGGGGGAUGACGGCCUUCGGGUUAUAAGCUCCUUUCGAAAAAGACGAAUUUAGGACGGUAUUUGGAGAAGAAGCACCGGCUAACUACGUG